GGUAGUCUGCAGUGAAGCAACACAAUAUAAUUUUUCAAAAAUGUACCCACAGCCAUGUUUUUUUCAUGACUCUGGGUUGUUUAUUAAAACCAAAUCUGCAAUAAUAAAAAAAAAUAAAAUA